UGAAGACCUUACCCGAUUAGCUGAGAGGUGGUGCAUGGCCGUCGUCAGUUCGUACUGUGAAGCAUCCUGUUAAGUCAGGCAACGAGCGAGACCCACGUCCACAGUUGCCAGCAUACCCUCCGGGGUGAUGGGUACACUGUGGAGACCGCCGCUGCUAAAGCGGAGGAAGGAGUGGGCAACGGUAGGUCAGUAUGCCCCGAAUCUCCCGGGCUACACGCGGGCUACAAUGAUUGGUACAAUGGGCAUCUACCCCGAAAGGGGAAGGAAAUCUCUUAAAGCCAAUCGUAGUUCGGAUUGAGGGCUGCAACUCGCCCUCAUGAAGCUGGAAUCCGUAGUAAUCGCGUUUCAACAGAACGCGGUGAAUACGUCCCUGCUCCUU
rnacentral:rRNA from 1 species